UAUAAACUAAUAAAGAUUGAUUAUCUGGUUUUCAUUUAUUUAUUUAAAAAAAAAAUCCCUGUGUAUGUUUAUGAUGAGUUUUUAUGUGCAUAUUUGACAAGUUAAUUAUCAGGACUGAUUUGAAUCUUAACCAAUUUUUUUUUUCAAUUGAUCAAGUUUUUGUUUUCAUUUUUAUUUUCAUGAAAUAAGUCAAAAAACACAUUCCAACUCAUUUUUAAAAUACAAUUAUUUAAAUUUUUCGAACUUGAUAUGCUGAAAGCCUUUGGUUUGAAAAAGAAUGGAGGAUGUUAAGUUUUGGAUGGAUUCCUCAUAUUUUUAGAGCUGUAAAAUCAAACAUGAAGUUUAUUUAUAGUUAAAGAAUUAAGACAAUUUUUAAAGUAAGGACCCCACACAAAUUAGUGCCAUAUUGUGAAAUAUAUGAAAGAGUGAAUAAAGGUUAGAAAUAGGUUGUAUUAUAAUAUUAAGUAUUUGUAGUAGGCAAGAUAAGUAAUUUUGUUUCAUGCUUUAUUUAUUUUGAUCUGUAAAAUCAGACAACCAUUUGUUCUGGUGCUUAUAGAUGCCCAAAAUUUCAAUGAUUCUUUUCUAAAUGCAAACAAAUGUAUGAUUGUAUAAUUUGUGACCAUUCUAUUUAUCUAAAACAUUUAACAUUUAAAGAAUAGGCAUGACAUGUAUAAAAGUUUAAUUAUUUGAUUAAUAAGAUAUUGUGUGAGUGGUUGUAAAAUUGAGUACAGUAUAACAAAGAAUUAUAUAUAUUAUCAGGUUAAGCAACUGGUUCAUGUAUUUUAUUUAUGAAACUACAUUUACUCAUAGUUUUAAAAACAUCCAAACAUUCAAAAAGAGUAGGAGAUUUUGUUUGUAAUGUCGUAUUGCAUAAUAUUUGUGAUAAUUAACUUGUAGGCAAACAACAAUAGAAUUAGUGAAAAAACAUCCUUUCCAAAACCAAUUUUGAUUUUAUUAAUUAUUAGAAGUUAGAAAGAUUAUUUUCUCUGUAAUGUAUAAUUUGUUUUAUGUGAAAUGUGUGAUGCGAUUAGAUUUUUUUUCAUCACAGAAUGAAUUUUUUGAAUUGUAUAUUAAUAUUAAAGGGUCAUGUUUAAAUUCAGAAAUUAAUUCAAACUUUUUAAAUUAAGUGUAAAUUAUGACAAAUAUUCCAAUAGUGUUGAAUAUUGCAUUAUAUACUGCUCCAACCUAAAAUUAACCACGUUAAUAAAUCUUGCAUUAUUGUCACUUGUUGAAGAUACAAUACAAUAAAUAUAUUGAUAGAUUUAGUUCAAAAAAUUAAGGAUGUUUGCUCCUUUUGUUUUUGAAUUUUUGCCAGAUAUUCAGAAUCCUCUGGUUUAUCUAUGUAGUGCCAUUAAAAAUUUUGCCAACAAACCCCUACUUUUCUUUCCAUAAUUUUAUGACAUAUAUUUUAAAAAGCCAUUUUUGAAAAUCUUCUAAAAUCCUUGUUAUUUUUUCAUAGUUUUUGAAAGAAAAAAGGUUAAAUGUAUGAAAAAGCUAGAGAGAAUCACUUCCCAUCAAAUUUUCAAUGGCUUAUAUCUCGAAAACAAGCACAUGAAUCCUUCUAUAUUUUCUGCUUUUUAAAUUCCUUUAUUCAUAUACUUUCAAUUUAUAACAGUCUUUUCAAAAACUUUUUAUUUUAAAACAGAGUAGCAAACAUCCUUAAAUUAUAUAGGCAGCAUGAUAAUUUCAGCAGAUUUCACCAAAUUGUGUUCUUAAUUGUUGAUAUGCAAUAGUUGUAGGGAGAUUUAAAGAUUCAUAUGUUUGCACUGCCAUUUAACAAAAACAUGUUUCUAUUUGUACACCCUUGUCAUAAACAGGACCUUUUAUGCUAUACUGUUGUCCAUCUGUCAGUCAGAUGUCUACAUGUCAUAUAAUAGCUAGAAAAAUUAUGAAACUUGUAUGGAAUAUUUGAUUCAUUUAAAAAAAUUUUUUUUUUAGGUUAGUCUUUAUAGAAUUAUUGGGUAUUAACCGUCAGAUUUAAGGUAAUUUUUUGCAAAUCAAGCUUUUACUUAGCUCUAAACUGAGUAUUCUUGGGUGUAUUAUUUAGUAACUUUAAACUAAGCUGUUUGUUCUGUUUAGUGUUAGUAAGCAACUUUUUAUUUGGAAAAUUUUCUGGUUUGAGGUUUUUUUUGCAGGGCCAUCUUAAUGAAUGGAGUAAAUGCCUUCUAAAGUAUUACAUUUUAUUCUUUCAACAAUUUUAAUAUGCACAGGACAGGCGUAUCUUGUUUGUUUGGCAUAGUUGAUUAUUAUUUUUGUUAUAACACAUAAAAAAUGACUAAUUUAUUGGUCAACAUAUGGAAUCUUAUAAAUGUCUUGUUUUAAUUCGCUAGUAAACAGACAACAAAUGGAAUCUUUUAUAUGACUUGUUUUAUUGGCUAGUCAACUUUUGACCAAUGGAAUAUUUUAUAAGACUUGCUUAAGAAUCUGUUAUGACUUGUUUUUAUUUGCUAGUCUACAGUCAACAACUGGAAUCUUUCAUAUGUCUUGUAUUUUUAUUACUUGUCAGUGAUAGGUGAAGUAUGAAAGUUUGUAAAAAAAAUAAAAGAAAUAAUUCCAUUUUGUGAUUUAUUUGAUCAUACUUAAAUUUAAGUCGUGUAAAAGACCAAACAAAGAAAUAAAGUUAUUUCUACAGCAAAAACUCUUGCCAGUGUUAUAGUCUAACAAAAUGCUUUAGUUUCAUUUUGUUGUUAAUACUUUUUAAGAAUGUAAUUAAAUUUAAUUAAAGUCUAUCCAAACUGAAUAGGUGAUUUCCUUCUUAUGAAAUUUUGGUGUGCGAGAUUUGCUCUAGAACCUACUAUAUGUUGCUUUUUUUAAAAUUAUUUUAUCAAACCUUUUGCUGUUAAAUUAUUAUUUAAAAAAAACCCUUUAAACACUGUAUUUUUUCAAAUACAUGUAGAUCUAAUUAAAAAAAGUAUUAAACAACUAAAACAAAACUGCAGGUAACUUUGACACAUUCUUUUUUUUAAAUAAUGUUUUAACAAUGUCAGUUUUGUUUUAAGGAAAUACAACUGCUUAUCAUCGAAUGAACUAGGAUAUUUAUUGUUCAUGAGGAAAGAUUUAACCUUUCUCUGAAGGGCAUUAUCUUAAGAAAGAUAUUUCCAAAUUUAUGCAUAUACAAUAACCUGUUUUUUUUAUUGAAAGGUGCAAUAUUGUUCUGAUUUGUAUAUAUAUUAUUAUUUACAAAACUUUGGUUUGUAAUUUAUAAAAUGUUGUUGUACAUAUUUACUUUAAAAACUAUGUAUUUGAAAAACUAUUUUGAUCUGCAACAUUGUAGACAUACAUUAAUUCUUUUUGUGUAUAAGAAUUUUGGCGCAUGUCUGCGGUACAAAAUUUGCAUCCUGGUAUCUAUGAUGAGUUUAUUUUAUAGCAGUAUGUUGAUUACAUUUCUGCCAUUUUAGGUUAAGGAGUCUAAAAAGGUUAUAAUUGAUAAUUUUGUAAUUAUUUAAGACUAACAGGUCUUAUUAUUUUCAGGACUCUUUGAGCCUCUAAUUAUGAAUAAAUAACUACCAUCUAUAUAAUAUUUGGCAAUAAUGUAGUUUUAUUCAUAGAUAUGUUAACAUGGUCUAUUAUGUAACUUCCCUUUUUUUCAUUCUGUUGCUUUGUAAACAUUUUGCAUUUGUAUCUUCUUCCUUCCUUUCAUUCAUUUCUAUUCUAUGAUUUCUAUCACUAUGUUAUGUAUGUACCAUUAAGAAUGGUUCAAAUAAUGUUUGUUAACGAUAAAGAAAUACAUUUGAUUUUU